GAAAAGAACAAUAAAUGCAUUCCAGUUAAUAAAAAUUUGGAAGGUCUGGUUAAAGUUUUCUGUAAGCCUGAGUUAAAGUAUUUGCCUACCCUACAGGAUUAUGGUGCAAGAAAAACUUAUAUCUCUGUAAGGCUGGUAAAACUAUUGCAGACACAGUUACUUUAAAAUGGAAAAAUUCUGAUUUGUCUAGCUUAACCUCUAGAGACUGCUCAAUAUUAUGCAAUAUAUGCAGUCAACAGUAUAUGCAGUCAUCAGUAUAUGCAGUCAAGGAAGAAAUAGAUUAUUAAAUAAAAGUAUGAAAUAGGGAACUAGCUCAACACUGAAACUUUACCAAAUAUGUUUCUGUGAAAUUGCUAAAGGUAAACCCCACAAAUGUUCCCCUUUAAAGAGUAGCACAAAUCUUUCUGAGAGUAUUUCUAAAAUUUCUAAAAAAGUAAAAGAACAAGUAGCUUCUUCCCUUCUUCCCUUCUGAGAGUAUUUCUUAAAGCUUCUUCCCUUCUUCUAGGAGCUCAAAUCAUUCUCAGAACAGGUAAAUAGUGACCAGAGAAAGAUUCCUUAUAAUGAAGUAGAAGUUUUGGUAAAUACCUUAGGACUUAGUCAAUUGAAGUCAAAUGAAAUGUUAAAAACUUUGAGGAGAAGUGGUGUAAAGUUUGAGUCAAACAUUGAGAAAGCCCUGGAUGAAAAAAGUAAACUACUUUCCAACUUUUAUGUCACUGAAUUAUUAGACUUUCAAUAAAAAGAAAAAGAUAAUGACUAUGCUACAGUGAAGAGACACUUGGUAUAUAUUGAAGAUAUUACAACAUUUCUGGAUUUUGUAAUAAAAUAUCGAGGGCAAGUUCCACAAAACACAUUUGUAAAGGUUGGAAUAGAUUCAGGUGGAGGAUCACUGAAAGUUAUAGUAAAUCUGUUUGAUCCAACCAAGGACAGGACAAAAGAUAGCAGCUCCUUAGGAUAAUACUCAGGAGCAAAUACGUCACUUGUUUUAGUUUAUUGUAAAAGGGUAAGUGAGAAUCAUUCUAACAUGACAAUGAUUGUGAAAAGAUUAAAGUUGCAUGAAUGCAAGUACUCAUUGGCUUCUGACAUGAAGUUAAUCAACAUAUUGCUAGGAAUUUCGGCUCAUGGAGGAAAGUAUGCUUGUGCAUGGUGUGAAGGUUCUUCAGAAUUAUUUUCUGGAGAGUUAAGAACAUUUCAAUCUUUGAAUAAUUACUAUGAACUGUAUUCAUCUGCAGGAUCUCCGGUGAAAAGAAUGAAAAAUA